ACCCAGCUGACGAGUCCCAAAUAGGACGAAAAGCGCGUCCUGGAC
rfam:Schistosoma rodhaini strain Burundi genome assembly, scaffold: SROB_scaffold0007971